rnacentral:rRNA from 1 species
AUGGGCAGAUCCAAGGCUGAGGCAAUGAGAUCCGGCGACACGGGUCUCAGGGAAGCAGGGGCGCCGGACUUGCCGCGAUUCCGGCGAAGGAGAAACAGAGGAGGGCUCCUGCGGGCGACGCGUCCUUGUCCUCGUGAAACAGAACGACGACGGCGGAAUUGGCGCGUUCUCCGGCAAGGGCGACAGCUUGAGGCGGGGAAGACCCAGAACGGGAUGAAGAUGACAGAUCCGAGGCAGAGGUCGCAUUUCCCGGCGAGGACACGGCUUUGGGCGAGGCAGAGGAAGCAGGUCCGGGCGGCGAGGUUCUCGCUCGAUGCCUUGAAGGCAUGGACGAGGACGGCUGUGGGAGACUCGAAGCAGAGGCGGGGGUAG